CUGUAGCCGCAACAAGCACGUGCCAGUGUGAAAGGAAUGCCAUAAAAGCCGAUGUCACUGGUGGCGACGCUGCUAUAUGCAGCAAUGCACAAGCGGCAAUUAAAUGUCUGAGAGGUACAGUGAACGCCGGGUGUAGCAGUACUCGAGCAGUAGCGGCGACUGCGUACGCAGGAUUAAUAACCUCCAAAUGUACAGCCACUGCAACAUGUACGUGUGAAAUUGAUCACGCGAAAGCAACCGUGACAGCCGCCGCAGACCAAUGCACAGCUGCAAAAACACUUGUGAAGUGUGUUCGUGAAUCCACAGAUGGUGGCUGUGUUGAUACAAGAGUUCAAGUUGGAACAGCAGCUGAAGGCAUCAUUGAUACUCUUGGAACAACUGACUGUCCUAAAACUUCGACAUGCCAGUGUGAAAUCGCACAUGCCAAGGCUGAUGUUAGUAGUACCGAUAAAGUGUGCAGGUAGGUUGUUCUGUUUUUUC